AGUGAACGCUGGCGGUAGGCCUAACACAUGCAAGUCGAACGGCAGCACAGUAAGAGCUUGCUCUUACGGGUGGCGAGUGGCGGACGGGUGAGGAAUACAUCGGAAUCUACUUUUUCGUGGGGGAUAACGUAGGGAAACUUACGCUAAUACCGCAUACGACCUACGGGUGAAAGCAGGGGAUCUUCGGACCUUGCGCGAUUGAAUGAGCCGAUGUCGGAUUAGCUAGUUGGCGGGGUAAAGGCCCACCAAGGCGACGAUCCGUAGCUGGUCUGAGAGGAUGAUCAGCCACACUGGAACUGAGACACGGUCCAGACUCCUACGGGAGGCAGCAGUGGGGAAUAUUGGACAAUGGGCGCAAGCCUGAUCCAGCCAUACCGCGUGGGUGAAGAAGGCCUUCGGGUGGUAAAGCCCUUUUGUUGGGAAGAAAAGCAGCAGGUUAAUACCCCGCUGUUCUGACGGUACCCAAAGAAUAAGCACCGGCUAACUUCGUG
rnacentral:rRNA from 1 species